rnacentral:tRNA from 1 species
GCGCUUAUGGUGGAGGGGUUAACAUACUUCUUUCGGGUAGAAGUGGUCCCCGGUUCGAAUCCGGGUGAGCGCC